GUCAUCCUACGGGAGGCAGCAGUGAGGAAUAUUGGUCAAUGGACGCAAGUCUGAACCAGCCACGUAGCGUGCAGGAUGACGGCCCUCCGGGUUGUAAACUGCUUUUAGUUGGGAAUAAAAGGGGGCUCGUGAGCCCCGUAUUGUAUGUACCAUCAGAAAAAGGACCGGCUAAUUCCGUGCCAGCAGCCGCGGUAAUACGGAAGGUCCGGGCGUUAUCCGGAUUUAUUGGGGUUAAAGGGGGCGUAGGACGGCUUUUAAGUCAGCUGUGAAAGUCCGCGGCUCAACCGUGGAAUGGCAGUUGAAAC
rnacentral:rRNA from 1 species